CCCACUGAAUGGCGAGGGAUUCGUAGUCCCAAUAUUCCUUAGGGCGAACAACAUUGAUAUCAGCGUAAAUCCUAGCUUUGGAGGUGGCACCGGGACGGCGAGUGGAUUUUCCAAUCUUUAGCGCCAUAGUGUCAGAGGGAGGGAGCGGAGGAGGGUGGGAGCGGUGAGGAGGUCGUGGGGAUGAAUUUGAAGAAGAGACGGCGAAGCGACGACGGAAGAAAGUGGGGAAAACGGGAAAAUUGGUGGUGGAGGAUGAAAAUGAACGAGGAGUGCGGAAAAAAGAGACGAAUCUAUCGAGCGACAAGGUGGAUUGGAAAGGCCUAAUGGCCAUUAAAUCGCAAAUGCAAAAAUAAGUUGCCGUAAUUUGUUCGUUUGUUUUGACACUCAAAACCCUUGUUCUUUCUUUAUGUAUUAUUAUUAUUUUGGCUUAAAUACCUUCUUUUUUGUCUUAAUCAUUUAAAAAUUCAGUUUCAUCUUGUAACUUUAAAAUCGGUUCGGUCCAUUAUUUUAAUGGUAAAGCUUUGUUAAACUUCCACAAUGUAUCAUAUGCGUAUACAGGGAUAAGAAUAGCCUUGGACAUUUUUUAGGUGUUAAGCUCUGGUUGGUGGUUUGUCCUACUUAAUAAAAUGAUAUGCUCAAGUUACUUUUAAAAUUUAUUUAUUUAAAUAGAUCAGAUUCAAUUUAUAAAAAAAAUCUAUUAGACCAGAUCGGUCUAUAUAUAUUUUAUUAUUUAUUAAUAUUAUUUUUUAUUAUUAUAUUAAUAAUAAUAUUUUCUAUUUUAAAUUAUAUCAAUCAGACAAUCACUUAGUAGUCAUUCUAUGUUUGGUAGUUGUUUCAUAUUUGGUAGUUGUUUCAUAUUUGGCAGUCAUUCAAUUAGUGAAUCACUCAGUAGUCGUUUCAUAUUUGUUUGAGAGGUAAUAAUGGGUGCGUUUGUUUCAGAAAAAAAAAAUAUAUUCUUUAAAAUCAAAAAUUAUUUUUUAAUGUUUAAAGGAUAUUUGUUUCAGAUUUUUUUAAAAAUUAUUUUGUUAGGAAAAUUAUUUUUUAUUUAAUAUAUAUAAAUAUGUACAUUGAUAUUGGUAUGUGGAGAGCAUCAUGUGGUAUGAGUACUGAGUAGAACAUUUAAAUGUUUUAAUGUGAAUAAGGUUUUUAAAUAGACUUUCUGCAAUGGGUUAGAGGUAGGGAGGCAAGUAUUUUGUUUGCCUCGUGUACUGUCUAAUAAAGUUGUUCGCUUAUUCAAAAAAACAAUUCCAUUCAUCAAACACCAAAUGAAAAAAACCACCACAAAUCAUAAUAGCACGGUGAAAAUAUUUGUUUUUUAAAAGUCAACGUCAUGAUUUACCUUCUUCUUCUUAACAGGUUUCAGGAUCUUGACGACACAUUUUUCAUUAUCCGUACAGUGAACACCUUCAAACACCUCACUGUAUUUUCCUCUUCCAACUUCCCUCACAACCUCAUAAUCAUCUUGUUCUCUAUAACAAAAGCAAGAAAUUAAAAUCAACAUUAACAAAAUGAAAAUUAUUAACGGUGUGGAUUGGAUUGUUAGUUGUUACCCCCACUGAAUGGCGAGGGAUUCGUAGUCCCAAUAUUCCUUAGGGCGAACAACAUUGAUAUCAGCGUAAAUCCUAGCUUUGGAGGUGGCACCGGGACGGCGAGUGGAUUUUCCAAUCUUUAGCGCCAUAGUGUCAGAGGGAGGGAGCGGAGGAGGGUGGGAGCGGUGAGGAGGUCGUGGGGAUGAAUUUGAAGAAGAGACGGCGAAGCGACGACGGAAGAAAGUGGGGAAAACGGGAAAAUUGGUGGUGGAGGAUGAAAAUGAACGAGGAG
rnacentral:lncRNA from 1 species